AUUGAACGCUGGCGGCAUGCCUUACACAUGCAAGUCGAACGGCAGCGCGGGAGCAAUCCUGGCGGCGAGUGGCGAACGGGUGAGUAAUACAUCGGAACGUGCCCAAUCGUGGGGGAUAACGCAGCGAAAGCUGUGCUAAUACCGCAUAAGAUCUACGGAUGAAAGCAGGGGAUCGCAAGACCUUGCGCGAAUGGAGCGGCCGAUGGCAGAUUAGGUAGUUGGUGAGGUAAAGGCUCACCAAGCCUUCGAUCUGUAGCUGGUCUGAGAGGACGACCAGCCACACUGGGACUGAGACACGGCCCAGACUCCUACGGGAGGCAGCAGUGGGGAAUUUUGGACAAUGGGCGCAAGCCUGAUCCAGCCAUGCCGCGUGCAGGAUGAAGGCCUUCGGGUUGUAAACUGCUUUUGUACGGAACGAAAAGGUUCUUUCUAAUAAAGAGAGCUCAUGACGGUACCGUAAGAAUAAGCACCGGCUAACUACGUGCCAGCCGCCGCCGUAACAC
rnacentral:rRNA from 1 species